AGCACUUUCUGAGGAGGUCAAAAAGAGUUACGUGCGAAUCCGCAAGAUAAACUCAUCAAUCAUUCCGGGCAACAUAACCCCAAAGAUCCCCCGCGUCAUCUCCGGUAUCCUGCAGCAAAAACGUCCGCGUAAUCGCUUUUAAUAGAUGAUUUCAGCGAAAUCGAAACCCUUCCGACACCGGAGAUGACCACACAGGUCGUACAGGUUUCCACAGGUCAAGCCCCAAAGUGACAUUACCUCACACGCCGCACGCACGCGCGGCCAAACCAGUUUACAGAAUGGACUUUGGGGGGCUCACCGUACGAUACCGCGUCUUGGUCUAGGAAAGUUAUUUUUAGCAAACGCCAACUUGGUGGCGGCGGCAGCAUGUCGAUUGCGCGCCAGGUAAUGACAGUCGAGGCUUGUCGCACAUAUGUUUGUACCAUGAAAAGAGAUUAUGGUUAUGUAAAGCUGUCAUGCCUCAGCUACCCCCCCAUCAAUCGUGGAGUCCAGCGCGACCGAUUGGGCGGCAGGAGGCAUAGAACCGUACGAUUUCGGUGUUGCAAUCUGCAGCAGCAGGGGGUUAUCAAGCAUAUGCCGACGAUUCUAGAGAAGGAGAUUGUUCCAGCUCGUAAUUGAUCGGCUAACGCCACCGGAAAGGUGAACAAAUUAGCUUCCAGAAAGUUGUAAUUAGAAAUGUCAAGCCGUACACAAGAUUGCUGGAUGUUUGCGGUUGAACUUUAAUUACCCGGUGUUACGGGAACACGUCCGGACAUUGUGACCGCAAGUCAGGUGUCCGGGGCGUCAGGUGACAAAGCGGGAAUCAACAGUAAAAAGGAAAUUUGUAAGGAAAAAUGGCACUGUCGCGCCCCUCGGCUAAUGUGUCAAACUGAAAAUCGCGAUGCAGUGGUGCCAGAUUUGCAAUAAGUUAUGUUCGCGCAUUUUUCGUCCACAUCUGAUUAUUAACUCUUAAUGAACCGUUGUGUCAAGCGAUAGCUAAUAAUUAGUGGUAAUGGUAACACAGUUUUGAAAAUCUCAUUGCUAACUUAUUUAAAAGUUUUAACUUUUAAUUCGACUGUAUAAUUUCUUUCAUUUUGUCGUUCUCGUGAAACCGUGUACGUCUAAGUCCAAAAUGUAAACAAACGUUUAGGUGAUUCCAGUGGUUAGUGAGUGGUAUUCCACGACGUCAAUCAAAACAGAACGUCUGCAGCCAGGACUUGUACGCGGAUACCUUCGAAGGAGGAUGGUACGGAACAAGGUUUGGGGAUUAGGGGAAAGUUGGUUUUCAAAAGGAUGAGGCCAGCUUCCUGCCGGAUCUGCAGCUGUUUCACGACCGAAAUGGGUAAGAAGGAAGCUUGGGUGUUUGGUGGCGUUUGUGUUUGAUUUUGUUUGUUUUUGUAGGACGCCGUUUAUGCGGAUGUGAAUUUGCACCGGUUGUAUUCGAUAAAGUUAAUUUUAACGGUGAGGAGAAGGAUCCGACGGAAUAGGGAAACGACGAGAAGCGAUCGGAGGUGGUUAGCGCGGAUUUUGCACUCGGUGCCGGCGAUUUACGACCAUCAGCAGCAUUAUUUGCCGGAAGUGAUAACGGGACAGUGUGGGAUGUCCUGAGGGUCCGCAGUCCAUUUCUCGGUGCGGGACAUGUAUGACGAGUAUUACAUAAACAUCCGGAAGAACAGUUUGCACCAGUCCUGGAAGAACCGUCUGUACGAAAGCCACAGGUCCUGAAGCUGUCGUACUCGGAUUACUUCCAGAGGUUGGAGCGAUAUCCGACGAACCUGAUCAAGAACAUCUACCUGGAAUACCGAAGAAGUCACCGCAACUCCCGCCCGCAAACUCUCAACUCGCGACGGCGCAGCUUCGGCCGGAUGAACUGGCAACAUCUGUGCCAUUCUCGAAGGAGGACGAUGUGAUCGGGAACUAUCGGUUCAGGCGCUUCACUUCCCAGUCGGAAAACGUCGACUUACCUUCCCGAA